GAUGAACGCUGGCGGCGUGCUUAACACAUGCAAGUCGAACGGAAAGGCCCAAGCUUGCUUGGGUACUCGAGUGGCGAACGGGUGAGUAACACGUGGGUGAUCUGCCCUGCACUUCGGGAUAAGCCUGGGAAACUGGGUCUAAUACCGGAUAGGGCGAUGGUUUGGAUGCCAUUGUGGAAAGUUUUUUCGGUGUGGGAUGAGCUCGCGGCCUAUCAGCUUGUUGGUGGGGUAAUGGCCUACCAAGGCGUCGACGGGUAGCCGGCCUGAGAGGGUGUACGGCCACAGUGGGACUGAGAUACGGCCCAGACUCCUACGGGAGGCAGCAGUGGGGAAUAUUGCACAAUGGGCGCAAGCCUGAUGCAGCGACGCCGCGUGGGGGAUGACGGCCUUCGGGUUGUAAACUCCUUUCGCUAGGGACGAAGCGUUUUUGUGACGGUACCUGGAGAAGAAGCACCGGCUAACUACGUG
rnacentral:rRNA from 1 species